AGAUGGAGGUGGCUCUGUCCUUACAGUUGCGACUGCAUGUCACUCUAUUCUUAGACUUUUGAAGAUCACACUUGGUGUCCCUAGCUAGUCUUAGAAUGGUGAGAGUGGAGUUUUGGAUGGAGUGUGACAGCGAUGACACCCCUACCAACUCUCUUGCAUGCCAUUCUCUUUUCUUAAUAAUUGGGCUUGUCUAUAUGCACUUGUUGGUAUAGGUGGUGGUCCUCGCUUACUGGGUAAGUUGUUGAAGAUCGAAAGAAGCUGAUGGAGCACCUGUCAAGGGAUUUGCAACUCUCUCAUGUCCUGGUUUUUCUGAAUUAUCAACCAUGGAAAGAGUUGGAAAAUGUGAAGUUGAACUGACUUUUAAAUUUUUUAAAAACACCGUUUCUGCAGUAAAAAUAAACAGGUUAUGCAUGGUGGCAAUUUAUUGAGCAAACUUGGGAGGUGAUAUAAUAAAUGCAACAGUGAAAUUGGCUACUCUU
rnacentral:lncRNA from 1 species